rnacentral:lncRNA from 1 species
CACUUAGGUUUAUUCCCUGAGAAAACCCAGAAAAAAAUAAUAAUAAUAAUAAAAAUAAGGCACCUAUCUAUACACUUUCUAUACCACAAAGAUUAUAUUCUCAAUUCUUUAAAUAACAAGUAAACGAAGAAGAAGAAGAGAGGCUAGGGUUUCUGUAGUAAGGUAUUCGAGAGAGACAGAUUGAGAGAAAAUAGAUAGUCUAAUCCAAAAAAGCGAUUUGCAGUUCCCAAUUGGAGAACAAGAGUUAAGCCAAUAGGAGGAUCCAAAAUCCUCAUCCAACGGUCACAAUCUCAAAGAAAGUCUCCACUCAUAGAAACGCCAAUUUUGAAACACACUUUUCCAAUUUUUGUAACACCAGUGAGUAUUUUCCAUUAGCUCUACUUUGCUACCAAGAAUUGACUAAUUAAGUACAAGAGCAUCACCUUCACUUUUGCUACAUAUACUCUUAUACAUGUAAGAUCACAUUUAAACAUAAUCAAUAGAUAGUAUGACGCGACCUGUCUCAAAUCACCUUAAUGGACCACGUGUUGUUCGUUGAUUGUAGAUACCAGCUAAAUACUGGACCCACCACCAAGACAAUUUUGACUUGCUUGACAAAAAAAUAUUUUCAAAAGAAUUUUGAUAGAAUUUUCUUUGAAAUAUGGACUAAACCACCUGAGUAAAAAUCAAUUUUAUCAAAUCUAUGCAUAUAAUAUAAAACAGGGUACACCAACCCCUCGAAAUACCAACUAUUCAAAAUAAAUGCAUUGGAAAGAAAUUUAUAUUCCUUUACAAUCAGACAACUUCAUUUGCAAAAUAUAUAAAGAAAUAUGCAGUGAGCCCUUAAUAUAAAUACAUUUUCUGAUAAAAGAUGCAUCAAUCCCAAAAAUAUGUAAUGUAUUAACUGACAAGAUGAAACAUACAAGAAAUGACACCGUGUGGCUCAACUCGAAGAUCGACAGGCUCCAAUGUGUCUUAACGCAGCUACUAUCUAUUAAGAAAAAGUGUGACAAAAUAUGUGCUUGUAACUCAGUGAGUGGAUAUUUUGUAAAAGUAUACUUUUCCCUUUAUAACAACUUUUUGAAAACUGAUAUCUAGUAAGAAUUUUCUUUCACAAUACUAUAAACUAAAAUCUUUAUUCUUUAAACUGAAUAAGCUAAA